rnacentral:rRNA from 1 species
GACGAACGCUGGCGGCGUGCUUAACACAUGCAAGUCGAACGAUGAAGCUGGAGCUUGCUCCGGUGGAUUAGUGGCGAACGGGUGAGUAACACGUGAGCAAUCUGCCCUUGACUCUGGGAUAACCGCGGGAAACUGUAGCUAAUAACGGAUACGAGGCUCGAAGGCAUCUUCGGGUCUGGAAAGAAUUUCGGUCAAGGAUGAGCCCGCGGCCUAUCAGCUUGUUGGUGAGGUAAUGGCUCACCAAGGCGACGACGGGUAGCCGGCCUGAGAGGGUGACCGGCCACACUGGGACUGAGACACGGCCCAGACUCCUACGGGAGGCAGCAGUGGGGAAUAUUGCACAAUGGGCGAAAGCCUGAUGCAGCAACGCCGCGUGAGGGAUGAAGGCCUUCGGGUUGUAAACCUCUUUUAGCAGGGAAGAAGCGAAAGUGACGGUACCUGCAGAAAAAGCACCGGCUAACUACGUGCCAGCCGCCGCGGUAA